AGAAUUCUCACCUGAUGUCCGUUCGUUAUGCCCUGGAGUCUGUGCGGUCCGGCUACCUCCUUGUAAUGCAGCAGGCUUGUGGUGGACAGUUUUAGCUAGCAAUUCCUCCAUUGGGCAAUGCGGGGCAUUGAACAACCAGUAUCCUUGCAAAUGUUUGGGAUACAAGAUAACCACCAGUUCCUGUCCACCUUGCAUUA